GGACGGGUACGCAACGCAGCACGCGCGCGAGCGGGAGAGCUCAAAUUUAUAAUCUGGCACCUUCGGUGUCUGAGUUGUAAUCUCUAGAAAUGUUUUCCGCGUUGGACCGCACACAAGUCUGUUGGAAACAGCGGCAUAGUGGUGAGACCCCCGUAUAUGGUGCGGACGCCCAGCGCUUUGUGAUACAUUUUCGAAGAGUCGAGUUGUUUGGGAAUGCAGCUCAAAUUGGGUGGUAAAUUCCAUCUAAAGCUAAAAUUGGCGAGAGACCGAUAGCGAACAAGUACCGUGAGGGAAAGAUGAAAAGCACUUUGGAAAGAGAGUUAACAGUACGUGAAAUUGUUGGAAGGGAAACGCUUGAAGUCAGACUUGCUUGCCGAGCAACGGUUUGCAGGCCAGCAUCAGUUUUCCGGGAUGGAUAAUGGUAGAGAGAAGGUAGCAGUUUCGGCUGUGUUAUAGCUCUCUGCUGGAUACAUCUUGGGGGACUGAGGAACGCAGUGUGCCUUUGGCGGGGUUUCGACCUCUUCACACUUAGGAUGCUGGUGGAAUGGCUUUAAACGACCCGUCUUGAAACCACGGACCACUGCCGCUCAUUUUUCAAAAGGAGAACAUUUUCCUCUUUUUUUUAAAAAAAAAAAUUUUUUUUUUUUUAAAAAAAAAAAACAAAAUUUCUUUUUUUUUAAAAAAGAAAAAACUUUUUUCUUUUUAUUAAAAAAAAAUAGCGUUUUUUUUUUUAAAAAGGAAAGACGUCUUGUUUCUUGAAGAAAAACGCGACUUCUCAUUUGAGACGAUAGAGACUGUCU
rnacentral:rRNA from 1 species